GGGGGAUUAGCUCAAAGGGUAGAGCGCUCGGUUAGUAUGUGAGAGGUGGUGGGAUCGAUGCCCCCAUUCUCCA